UGCAGAAUAGCUCAGUCGGUAGAGCAAGAGACUCUCAAUCUCUAGGUUGUGGGUUUGAGCCCCAUGUUGGGCAA